rnacentral:rRNA from 1 species
AGAUUGAACGCUGGCGGCAGGCCUAACACAUGCAAGUCGAGCGGUAGAGAGGUGCUUGCACCUCUUGAGAGCGGCGGACGGGUGAGUAAAGCCUAGGAAUCUGCCUGGUAGUGGGGGAUAACGCUCGGAAACGGACGCUAAUACCGCAUACGUCCUACGGGAGAAAGCAGGGGACCUUCGGGCCUUGCGCUAUCAGAUGAGCCUAGGUCGGAUUAGCUAGUUGGUGAGGUAAUGGCUCACCAAGGCGACGAUCCGUAACUGGUCUGAGAGGAUGAUCAGUCACACUGGAACUGAGACACGGUCCAGACUCCGUACGGGAGGCAGCAGGUGGGAAUAGUUGGACAAGUGGGACGAAAGCCUGAUCCAGCCAUGCCGCGUGUGUAGAAGAAGGUCUUACGGAUUAGUAAAGCUACGUUUUAAGGUCGGGAGGAAGGUCUAAGUUAACCUAAGUUACGUUUAGUUAGUUUUAGACGUUUACCGACAAGAAUAAGC